GCAGAGCAACAGAUAUGGGCAGCAACGACGGAUAAGGCCAAGAACCAAGCAUUUAACUGCACAAACGGCGACGUUUUUAUGUGGAAGAGCUUAUGGAAACUGUUGUCAGAAAUCUUUGACGUUGAGUUUGUGCCGUUUGAUGAUGAGAAAAAUGAAAAAUUUGAUGUGGUUGAGAUGAUGAAGGAGAAAGGAGAAAUAUGGGAUGAGAUUGUUGAGAAACAUGGGCUGUAUAAGACCAAAUUGGAGGAGAUAACUUGUUUUGAGGCAAUGAAACUUGUCUUGCAUUUUGAGUUUCAGCAUGUCAGUAGCAUGAACAAGAGCAGAGAAUUUGGGUUCUUUGGGUUUGUUGAUACCAUGAAGAGUAUUAGAAUGUGGGUGGGGAAGUUACGAGAGAUGAAGAUCAUACCAUGAGAUUCAAGAACGUAAAUGUAGCUGGGCAACUGGGCUUGAAGUUCUGGUUCGGUCUUGUUUUGCCAACCCACAUUAGAGUAUUGGCCGAAACUCACUCAGUCUAGCCCACCAAUGGGUCAUAUCAAUAAGGUAAAUGAAGAUUAAACAAAAUUUGGCCGGAAACAAUGGCAUGACUAAGCAUAAUUAGAUUGGAUGUAAGUUCACGUGUAUAGCUGUGGUAGCCAUAUGUGACCUCUUUUAAUCUAAAUACCAAGACACAUAAAUAACCAGCUAUACAACUGUACAAGUCAACAUGUUUAUGUCUCUCAUUUAUUUCAUAUAUAUAUAUCGUUCUCAGUUGCGGCCGCCCUUAUUUUUUUAAAUGCGAAUAUGUUAAAUUGUGUAGUUUAAUAAAAUUAUUUUCGAAUAUACUAUAAAGUCGUGUGAUUUAAUAACAUUAAAAUCUUUAUAUAUAAAGUAGUGAAGGUAUCAUCACCUCAUUAAAGUGAGGAUAUUAAUAAAAAAAUAAAAAGUACAAAUUUCAAUACAUUAGAUAUUAUAUUUUUCUAUCUAUUAGUAUAUUGAAAGUGUUUUUUUUUGGGGGUAUUUUACUAGCAUCCUCACAUUAAAAAAAUGAGGAUAUCCUCACUAAAGAACGAUUAUAUAUUAGUAAAAAAUUAAAUGAACACACAAUUCAAUACAUUGGAGAUUAUAUUUUUUUUUAUAUGUUAGCGUAUUAAAAUCUAUAAUUUUUUUUUUUGUAUUUUACUAGCACCCUCAUAUUAACAAAGUGAGAAUAUCGGCACUAAAGAAUGAUAACGCACACACACACACACACACACACACAUUCUCUAGUAAAGGCAUACUCAUUUUAAUAAAGCGAAGAAACAAGAAAACACGGCUUCUAAUAUAUUAGAAUCUGUAUUUUUUUGUAUUUUUUGUGCAUCCUCACUUUAGCAAAAGUAAAGAUGCCCUUACUAGAGAAGGAUUUUCAAUCAAGAACUCUGAUCAUAUUAAAAUCAAGCAUAAGCUCAAAGAUUAAAAAAAAAACUACAUAUUUUAAAAUAUUAUAGGAAAAAAUAUAUUGUACUAAAGUCUUAUUUUUUUGUUAUUUGUCUUAUGUCUAAUUUUAAUAUAGUCAGAGAUUUCUGAUUGGAUUAUCAAAGACACAAUGAUGAUUUUAAAAAUAUUAAUGAAACAUUUCUCUUGAAUUUGUGAUUAUGUUUUGAUUUUGAUUUUUUUUUCAUUUCGGAACAUGUAAAUAUUCUACCCAAGUAACACAAAUUUAUUCUAAAAUUUUAACAUAGAGUAAUGAUAUGUAACCAACUCAAGUUAUCUCACUAACUUCUAUUUUUCAAUUUUAUCUUACUAUUUUUUAAAAUUACCCUUAUUAAGAUUAAAAAAUAUAAUUUUUAUUUUAUUUUAUUCUCUCUUUCUGUUCUCUCUAGCAUAACCAUCAUGCUCACCACUUCAUCUACAACGAGUUUCAUCAUCAUCAUCAAACCGCCACCACAUAUUUUCUUCACCAUCAAUACAUCACCUCCAUCAAUAAAUGAUGAGUUUUAAUGUUUAGAUUUUGUUAAAUUUUAUGAACAAAUGAUGGGUUUUUUUUUUGUUAUUGAUAAUAUUUUUUUUGAUUUUGCAUGAUAAUGUAGAAUUUUGUUUAAUUUUAAUUUGACAACUGAUUAAGAGUUAGUAUUUGAUUCAAAUCGUGAAUCAAUUUAAAAAAAUAAGAGAGAUGUAAAAGAUAGAGAUGAGAAGUUAAUGUAUUAAGAGUUUGAGAGAGAAGAAAAAUAUUAAAUUUUAAUUAAUUAAUUAUUUAUUUAUUUUUCACUAUAAGCAAUUCUAAAAUAAACAAUAUUAAUUUGAAAAUAAUGGUUAGUGAGAUAAGUUUCACCGCUCUUUAACAGAUUCUUUGCAUGUGACUAGUCCAUGGAAUUGGUCAUAUUUCAUGUGGGCCUUUUUGUCUACGUCAAACGUGAUCUUGACUCAAAUUUUCAAAAAUAGUCUAAUCUUAAUCUUUUUAUCCUUCUAGCAAGCGCACUUGUAAGGUUAUCUCCAUUAAUAAUACAUAACCGAUGUAUAUGUUAUUCAUUCUAUUAUUUUGAUUUAGUUAUUAUCUUUUUGAUAUUUUAAGUUGUUAUUGUCUCUUAUCUUAUUUGAAUUUAAUUAGAACUAGUAUUUGAACUCCACGUGCCCGUCGUGGGUGCCAAUUACUAGGCAACUAACUUAGUGAAAUAAAUUCUUGGGUUAAAAUGAUGAGGUAAUGGCCUAUUAAUUACUGCUUACGUUAAUAUAAUUAACAAAAUCUUGUUUAUAUUUGAACUUCUUAAAAUUAUUGGGUUAAAACAAAAAUUCUAAGAUAUAUUGGAACCACGCUUGCUGUCUGGGUAAAGAGAGAAUUCAACUUAAUUUUAUUCCCCUUACUUUUUGUAUGCAUAAAAUAAACUUGAAGAUACUUGAAUAUACCAUGAAAUUAAGGGAAAGUGGCCCAUCGCUCCGCAGAUUCUAAGACAUACCAUUUUUAGAAAUGCUAGAUUCUCUGGUCUUUAACAGAACUUGUGUAUUCAUUUUAUUAAUUAAAGAGAUAGGUGGUGUUAGAUAAAAAGAAUAAAAAAGGUGUGGUUAAGUUACAUAAUGUUUUAACUUACAAAAACUUAAAGAGUUGCAUCAGUUAAGUCAAGUGUAAUUUAGUUAUUAAAUAUUUUUUGAAUUAUUAGAUACAACUCUUAGAUUGUUAUAAUUAAUUACAACAUUAUGUAAUUUAACUAAGGUGCCAAAAAAAAUAAAAUAAAAUAAAUAAAUUAAUUUGUGGUUUUGUCUACUCGAUCGUUUGAAAAUAUCACAAAGACCCUGCAGUUUUGAAAUAAAUUAAAUGUAAACAGGUUAAUUAAAUACCACUUGUUAGAAAAAAAAACAAAGAGUUAUCCUGCAAGAAGAUAAGCAUAAAAAAGGAAAGGUGGCGAGUAAUGGAGUAAGGACCAUGCACGCAUUAUCUUUUUAGCUGCUUCGCAUUUAAUACGAAAUAAUAAUGGUAGUAUAUUAUUGAUUUGUAGAUCCCCUCUAUGGUUAGGUCAAAGGUCGUGACAUUUUUUCCCCCAGGCCGAGCUUUCUUCAACAUUAAUUUCCUCUCAUUUCUCUGAUAUCUCCACUGAGAAGCAGAAAUUACCAGCACAUUUAUAAUUUGUAUCAUGGAAAAGCGAGAUCAAAAUCCUAAAUCAGUUGCCCUAAUCAUUGGGGUGACAGGCAUUUCAGGCUUGAGCUUAGCAGAAGCUCUAAAGAACCCAACCACACCGGGCAGCCCCUGGAAAGUGUACGGCGCCGCCCGCCGGCCUCCGCCCGGAUGGUUCCCGACUGCUCUCGUCGAUCGUUAUAUAACCUUCGAUGCCCUGGACUCCGCUGACACUGCCCUAAAACUCUCUCUGAUUUCUCAAGAAAUCACUCAUCUUUUUUGGGUCCCUUUGCAGGUUCAGGAAAGCGAAGAAGUAAACAUAUUCAAGAACUCGACGAUGUUGAAGAAUGUGCUCUCCGUUCUUGUAAGUUCUAACAGCGGACGUUCUUGUCUCCGACAUGUGGCUUUGCUGACGGGGACGAAACACUACAUGGGUCCGAUAUUUGAUCCGUCGCUUGCAGGUCAACUUAUGCCUUACGAAGUUCCUUUUAAGGAGGACUCGCCCAGACUGCCUUUCCCCAACUUUUACUACGAAUUGGAAGACGUUGCCGCAUCGUAUUCACCGGCUAUAACGUACUCCGUGCAUCGUUCGUCGGUCAUAAUCGGUACAUCUCCAAGAAGCCUGUACAAUUCGCUGCUCACUUUAGCGGUGUAUGCCACCAUUUGCAAGUACCAGGGGUUGCCGUUUCGAUACUUUGGUAAGUCCUUAAUUAUCUCCAAUUUAAUUAUAAAAUUACUAUAAAAAAAUUUGUUGGGUCGUAUUAAUCAAAGAUAAAGUUAAAAACCAGUCAACAUGCUCGUUCAAUGGCAGAUUUCAUUGAUCUCUUUUAGAUUUAUUCAAAUUGCAAGCUAGAUAUAGCUCUAUUAGGGUGUAUUUGGAAUUGAGGUUGGGCAGCUGUACCUUAAAAGUUACAACACAAAAGUGUUUGGUAAAUACUAGUUGUUGUAGUUUGCAAGUUAUAUUGAUAUACUUUUUCACUUGUAUGAUAGAAAAUCUAUUAUAUCUUUAAUAAUUUUGUCAAAAUUAUUAUUCAAAAUUUAUAUUAUUUUAUAUUAUUAAUUUUUGUUUCGUAGUUACAAUUUUUUUUCCACAGUAGCUGUAGCUUAAAAGCUACAACACCUCAAUUCUAAACGCACCAUUAGUUUCCAACGUUUAUAAGAUAUGAUAAACUUUACAGAAGUUAAUUGAAGGAGGAUAUAUGAGGAAUGUUUAUGGAUAAGUUGAUGAUUAUUUUCAAAAUCUGACAUGGUAAAGCCAAUUUCUUUGUGAUCCCUCUUAUCCCUCUUCAGUGACAGGCGUGCCUAAUUUCUUAAGAUUCCAAGGUUGUACAAAGAUUUACCGAAAGACGAAAAUUACAGAUUUAAUUUAAGACAUUAUUUAAACAUUAAAAUUCGUUCUUUUACAAAUCUUUGUAUAAGGUGUUGGAUGUCAGUAUUUAAAAAACGUGUAGAUCUAUGACUGGAAAUUUUCAUUUGUAUGUGUGUAGAACUAUCAGUUGCAGCAAAAAUAAAUAAAUACAUAACAAAAAUAAUUCACAGGGAAGGGCAUUUCCACGAAGUUGAAACUCAAACUCUACUUUCUAACUAUAAUUUAAGACUAGCCAUAUUAAAAUUAUGGCACCAACUAGUUGAGUUGGUAAAAGCAAGAGGUUUAUAAAUCAUACUGCACUCACAUGAGUGGGACGGGAUUGAGUUCUUGUUAAGCUAAAUAAUAAAAGAAGUAUUAUAAUCGCACCACACAAUCUAGCUGUGCAAAGUAGUGACGCUGAGACUAUGACCAUGACAGUUUACUGGGGCAAUUCGUGGAACAGUUGAUUUGUUGAGUUGUGUCCCAUAUUCUCUAGAAAAGGAGAGAUACUUGGGUUUAUAAGGAGGUAGGUCACUUCACCUAAAAAGUUAGUUUUUUUGGGUUAGAUACUUAGAAAUCUUACGCUAAGUCCUCCCAACAAGUGGUAUCAGAGCUAGACCCUGUAGUCGGAAUGUGGUAGUGGAACAACUCAGGUGUGUCGGACGAAAAAAUCAGAGUCCGACGGUGGUUUCGUUCAAGAGGGGAUUGUUGAGUUGUGUCCCACAUUGGCUAGUAAAGGAGAGAUACUUGGGUUUAUAAGGAGGGUAAGUCACUCCAUCCAAUAGGCUAGUCUUUUGGGUUGGAUACUUAGAAAUCUUAUGUUAAGUCCCCCCAACAAGUGGUAUCAGGGCUAGACCCUAGUAGCCGGAAUGUGGUGGUGGAACAACUCAGAUGUAUCGGACGAAAGGACCGGAGUCCGGCAGUAGUUUCGUUCUAAGGGGGAUUGUUGAGUUGUGUCCCACAUUGACUAGAAAAAGGAGGGAUACUUGGGUUUAUAAGAAGGUAGGUCACUCUACCUAAAAAGCUAGUCUUUUGGGUUAAAUACCUAUAAAUCUUAUGAUAAGUCCCCCAACAUGAUUCAUUUACUCAAACACUUACCUCAGAGUAUAAAACACAAAGGAAACAUUUCUGUUUAUUAUCCUAUCAACUCUCCAGCUUAGCAAAAUUUUUUUUUCCCUAAUCUUCGUCCGAAUAGCAAUUCUUGAAUCUUCCCUUUCAGGUAACAAAUACACAUGGGAGCAUUUUUUCGACGUGUCAGACAGCCGAUUGCUAGCAGAGCAACAGAUAUGGGCAGCAACGACGGAUAAGGCCAAGAACCAAGCAUUUAACUGCACAAACGGCGACGUUUUUAUGUGGAAGAGCUUAUGGAAACUGUUGUCAGAAAUCUUUGACGUUGAGUUUGUGCCGUUUGAUGAUGAGAAAAAUGAAAAAUUUGAUGUGGUUGAGAUGAUGAAGGAGAAAGGAGAAAUAUGGGAUGAGAUUGUUGAGAAACAUGGGCUGUAUAAGACCAAAUUGGAGGAGAUAACUUGUUUUGAGGCAAUGAAACUUGUCUUGCAUUUUGAGUUUCAGCAUGUCAGUAGCAUGAACAAGAGCAGAGAAUUUGGGUUCUUUGGGUUUGUUGAUACCAUGAAGAGUAUUAGAAUGUGGGUGGGGAAGUUACGAGAGAUGAAGAUCAUACCAUGAGAUUCAAGAUUCAAGAUUCAAGAUCAUAGUUGUAGCAAGUAAAUGUAGCUGGGCUUGAUGUUUUGGUUCGGUCUCGUUUUAGCCAGUCCACAUUACCAAUUUGAAAAUGUUAUAAACUCAACUAUUUUCUUUUUUUAAGACAGCAGAUUUUUACUUGUCAUUGUACCACGUGCAUAAAAAAGUACGAUGAACUAGUUUUAAAUAUUCUUAAGAAUUUUGUUUCAAAGAGUAUUCUCAUCACCACAAUUUAUUUAUAUCUUUUUAAAAAAUUUGUGAACUUGAAGUUUCUAAGUAAUUAUUUUUGCUAGUACCAUUUAUUCGUCUAUAUUUAAUUAUUAGAAAAUGAAAAGAUCUUAAAUAAAUAUUAUUAUUUGAAAAAUUCGAAUAGUCUUGGCCUUUAGUAGUUUUUUUCUCUUAAUUUGACCAUUUGUUUAGGAACUAAAACGCAAGACGGCAAAAGGAAUAAUGCGCGUGGUAGUUACCCACCCCACCUUUUUUUGGGGAGGGGGGGAAUCUUUGUCAUUUUUUUUAUGCACGUAGGUAGAGCUGGCAAAAUUUGACACGACCCGAUUACCCGACACGAACACGACAUAAAUAAAUGGGUAUGGGUCGUCAAAUUUAACACGAUUAUUAAAUGGGUCGGGUCCGGGUCAACACGAUUUUUUUCCGUGUCGGGUUUGGGUUAAAAUUCUUGACCCAUUUACCCGAUCAAUGACCCGAUUAUAUUUUCUAUUUUAAAAUAAUUUACAUAUUCUUAUAAUUAAAACUCAAAUAUUAGAGAUGAUUUUCUUUUUUUUUUAUUCUUUAAAAUGGUGAAUAUAAACACAAUGUUUUAUUUAUAAAAUUUUACAUACAUUUAGAGCUUCAAUAGUGUAAAUGUGUAAAAAUUGAUAGACAUGUAUAUUUUAUAAUAUUGAUAUAUAAUAUUAUAUAUAUAUAUAUAUAUAUAUAAUUAAAACUCAAUAGUGUACAUGUGUAAUAUAUUGGUAGAUAUGUAUAUUUUAUAAUAUCGAUAAAUUAUGUAUGUAUGUAUGUAUGUAUUUAUUUAUGUACAUACGUAUGUAUGAUAGUGUGUAAAUAUUUGAUGUAACUUUUGUUCAAUAUAUAGAUAUUAAACGGGUUAUUGGGUAACCCGGUUAUUUUUCCGUGUCGGGUUUGGGUCUCAAUAUUUUGACACGAUUAUUAAAUGGGUCGGGUUUGGGUCGACCUAAAUUUGACACGACACGAAGCUGACACGACACGAACACGACCCGAUGACCCAUUUUGCCAGCUCUACACGUAGGUAUAUUAAUAUUGGAAAUCGUUGCAUAAAUUUUUUAUUUUGAAAAAAUUUCAUAGGUUAGUUAUUAAAAAAAAAACUACAAGUGUUUAAUGGAAUAAUACGUAUGUAUUGCUGUGUUACUCUCUCUAAACAGCAAUUAGCUCUUGAAUUGAUAGAAUGAAAUAUACAACUUGAUGUUUACGUGAGAAGUGAUGGGUUUUUUUUUUUGAAUACUGAUUAAUCAUCAGAUUACUGCAUUACACAGAUAUUUACAACAACUGCUAUUGGAGCAGAGAUAUUAUAUUGAUAUUUACAAUCAGAUAUACAUAAUUGGGACUUAUAUUAUGACAUUGAAUUCUAUGAAGUACAUGCCCAAACAAAUAACCCCUCACAGGAGAGGGAUGUCCAUACUCCACUCGCAUUUCGCAAGGGAGAAUGAUUUUUUUGGAAGUAUAAAGAACAUUUAGCCCCCACAAUGCUUUUGUGGGGGCUAGAACCGCUGCCCUCACAAUGCUUGUGAGGGCAGUAGCCCACCACUUCGGCCAAGGCCGAAGUGGCGAGAAGUGAUGGGUUAUUGUCUCAUCAUUUUAACCCAAAAAUUUAUUUCAUUGAACUAGUUGGCAUCCACGAGGCAUGUUGAGUUCAGAGUAACUAGUUCUAAUUAAAUUCAAAUAAGAUAAGAGAUAUUAGAUAAUAACAAGUUAAAAUAUAAAUAAGAUGAUUAAUAAAUCAAAUUAAUAGAAUGAAUCACAUUUAGGUAGGUUGUGUAUUAUUAACGGCGAUAUCCUCACAAGUGCAGAAGAAUAAAAAGAUUGAGAUUAGAUUAUUUUUAAAAAUUUGAAUCCAAGAUCAAGUUUGGAGUAGACGAAAAGGCCCGCAUAAAACAUUACCAAUUCCAUUGACUAACUAUAAAAAAAGAAUAUGUUAAAGAAUAAUGAUAUUUGAUCCUGCUAAUUAAUUUUGUCAACCAUCGCUUUUCAAAUUAAUUUUAUUCAUAUUGCUAUUAAAAAAAAAUUAAAAAUUUAAUUUUUUUUCUUAUCUUUCAAGCUCUCAAUAUAUUAACUUCUCAUCUCUUCAUCUCUCACAUUUCUCUUUCUCUCUUAAUUGAUUCAUAGUUUGAAAUUAGACAAAAUUUUACCACAUAAAAUCAAAACUAAUAUUAUUAUCAAUAAUAAAAACCAUCAUUUGUUCAUAAAAUUUAACAAAACCCAAUAUUAAAACUCAUCAUAUGGUGGUAGAGGUGAUGGAUUGAUGGUGAAGAAAAUAUGUGUUGGUCAUUUGAUGAUGAUGAUGAACUCAUUGUAGAUGAAGUGGUGGGGGUAAUGGUUAUGCUAGAGAGAGGAGGAAGACGGAGAAUAAAAUGAAAUAAAUAAUAAUAAUUUUUUAUUUUAAUAAUGGGAAUUUUGAAAAGUAGUAAAAUAAACUGAAAAUAGGAGUUAAUGUGAUAACUUGAGGUGGUCAAAUAACAUAACCUUAAAAUUUGAGAAUUAAUUUAUGUUACUUGGGCAGAAUAUUUACAUGUUCGGAAAUAAAAAAGAAAAAAAUCAGAACAUAAAAAGAAUUUUAAUAGAAAUGUUUCAUUAAUGCUUUUAAAAUCAUCAUUGUGUCUUGAUUAUAUAUAUUGCUUCCUUUGGCUGUGUAUGCUACGACUUGCAGGUACCAAGGCUUGCGCUUUCAAUAAUUUGAGGCCUCAAUCAUCUCUAACUUAUUUUAUUUUAUUUUUCUAUUCAAACAUAAUUAUGAAAAUGUAAGAUAAAGUGAAAAAUAGUCAAUUUAUAUAUGCGUUUAAUGGCAAAUUUAUUUAAUCUCUUUGAGAUUUGUUCAUAUUACGAGCAAGCUCGAUCUCUUAGUUUGGAUCGUUUAAUGGAGAUUUGAUAAAUUUUAUAAAUGUUGAAGGAGGUAUAUAUGGGUAAUUAUUUUAUGGAUGUUGUUAUAUGAUUGUUUUCAAAAUCAAACACGACAUGGUAAAGCUAAUUCAUUUUGUAAUCUGUAAUUUUAUAUCCAAUGAAAUUAAGCAUGCAUGCAUCCUUUUUUAGUGCAGACAAUAAUCGUCAUUUUCUAGAAAUUCCGAUGUUGUACAAAGAAUUAAUAAAUGAUAAAAAUAAAAAAUUUAAUUUGAGACAUUAUUUGUACAAUAGCAUAUAUGAUUUUGCAACUUUUUACACAAAUAUAUAGUUGGAUAUCAGCACUUUAUACGAGUUUUGAUUAUGUGCGUAAAACUAUUAAUUACAACACAAAUAAAUAAAUACAUGACAAUUAGAUGGAAAGCUCCGAAAAAUCCGGACGUGGAAAAAACCCUAGCGCUGAAGGAAUUUUCCCUCCGCCGUUCAGGGAAACUAGAACAACUAAGAAGGCAAGGUUUCGUGAUGAGGAGGUUGCUGAUGAUACCCCUGUACAUGUUUCGUAUAAGGAAACCCUCGUAAACUCGUCGCGUGCAAUGGAGACGGGCUAUGAUGGCGGCGCAGUGGACUGGGAGUUUGAGGAAGGGGACGUGACUGAAAUUAAAGAUGGAACUAUGCCUUCCAUAACCUUCUCGGAUAGGGUUCAUGAGAAGCUAUGUGAACCAUGGAAGAACUCAGUGACAGUGAAGUUGCUGGGUCGCACGAUCGGUUAUAGAACACUAUGUACGAGAUUGAACGCCAUGUGGAAAACAACAAUGACUUACUCGGUGAUAGACCUAGAAAACAAUUAUUUCCUGGUUCGCUUUCGUUCGGCUACUGAUGCUGUCGAUGCCCUAACAAAAGGUCCGUGGAUUAUUAUGGGGCAUUAUCUCACGGUGCAGCCAUGGACGCUGUCUUUUGAUGCCAAUACAACGGACAUGGAGCAAGUUAAUGUAUGGAUCCGUUUACCUGGACUCGAUGUUCAUUUAUACAACCGGAAAGUUCUUCAGAAGCUCGGAGAAUUGGUGGGUACAGUGAUUAGAAUUGAUUCGAACACAGUAUCCUCAGCGCGUGGAAGAUUUGCACGAAUUGCAGUUCAUAUCUCCCUGGCUAAGCCCUUAGUUUCUCAGUUUGUGUUGGAUGGGAAGGUUCAAAAGGUAGAGUAUGAGGGAUUACCAGUGAUUUGCUUCACAUGUGAAAGAUACGGCCAUAGUAGUAGCAGUUGCAAGAGCUCGAAUUCAGCAAACAAUUCUGGAGAAUGGGUACAACCACAACCCAAUACGCAGCCCCAGGGGAACACUGUCCAGCUAGAUGAUCAUGGUAAUAUUGAUAGUAAUGCCGAGUCUUUUGGACCUUAGAUGAUAGCCACGAGAAAAGGCAGAAAAUUUAAUAGUGGCAAGGACAUUAACAAUGGCUUGAAUAGGAACCGAGAGAAUACAAGGGCUGGUGUUUCCAGAUUCCAAAAUCUUGAGCAGGUCACGGACGACCGUGAGCACCCCCAUCAUGCAGCUGUGAUAGACAAUCCAUCCACUUCUCAUCAACCAAACACGGCCAACCCUUACCAGAUAUUUACUGCCAAUCACGAGGAUAGAACAAAAACUCUGGCUAGAUGUAAGCAGCACACCACAACUGUUACUGCCAAACCCCAGAAGAAGACGCCAGCUUCCUCUUUGAACCCAACCCGAAACCCUUUUCAGCAGAGCACUUUCACUUUAAGAGAAGAAAAUACAAACUUUUUACCUCAUGCAAACCCUAGGACCGAAUCAUGUCUUAACCCUCAGUUCAACCCUAGCCACCAACAAAUUUCCCCUCUAGUUACAACCUUGGAUCCAAAAAUGCAUACGGUGAUAUUCUGUGCCAACCAAAACUUUUCUCUUGGAGAUGUAAGGGAGGCGGGCAGUGAUCAGGGAGAUCGGCUGGGAAGGGAAUAUGAGCACUCGUCUGACUCUCCAGACGGUCAGCAUGCUGGUUGUGUAAACGACGUAAAUGCUCAAGCGCACUCGGCUAUGUCUAUGGGUGAGAAUGAAGGGGAGGAGAUGUCCGAUGUGGAAGAUUCGAUGAUUGAGGAAACGCCUUUGGCGUUGAUGCAUGACAGGAAUGGACAACAUUAAUAAGGUGUCUGUGUGUCCUUAUUUUGUUUUUAUUUAUCUCAUGACGAUUAGCAUUAUGUAUUGGAAUGUCCAAGGGGCAGCCUCGACUGAUUUUCGGUGCUCCUUCAGGACAAUUGUUAAAAACUACAACCCAUCCUUGGUGGUUUUGAUGGAACCUCGCAUUAGUGGGGUCAAAGCAGAUGAUUUCAUAAAGAAGAGUGGUUUUGACCAGUCCCAUCGAGUGGAAGCAGUGGGCUUUGCGGGUGGAAUUUGGCUUCUUUGGCAGAGUUACAUAGAGGUGGAGGUGAUGCUGAACCAUAGGCAGUUUAUCCACUUUAAAAUAUGUAGGAAUAAUACUUUUAUGUCUUGGGCAACGACGGUAUAUGCCAGCCCAAACCCAAUGUUGCGGAGACAACUGUGGAAGCAUAUGGAUAGCAUUGCUAUGUCAAUUCAAGGGCCUUGGCUAAUUGGUGGGGACUUUAAUUCUAUAUUGUAUGCUUCUGAGAAGCAGGGGGUGCUACACGGAAUUCAGGAGUUUGCGGUAAUUUCUGGCAGUGGUUUGAUGGGCACCAAAUUUUUGAUUUAAAGUUUAAAGGCCCUCGGUUUACUUGGUCUCGUGGACUUCUGUUUAAACGACUUGACAGAGCUCUCUGUAAUAGUGGUUGGUUAAUAAAAUUUGCUGAUAAUUAUGUGCUUUACCUUUCGAAGGUUGCUUCAGAUCACAUGCCAGUACUGGUUCGUUUUGCGGGAGCUGAGCACAGACACUGAGGGACUAGGCCUUUCCGUUUUUUGGCACCCUGGCUGACUCAUGAGCAGUUCAAUUCUUUUGUUAAGAAAGUAUGGGAUCCUAAAGCCCAUUAUAGAGAUGCGGCGUCCCAUUUUGUCCAGGUGGUCCAAAAGUGGAAUAGGAAGGUGUUCGGGAAUAUUUUUCAGCGAAAAAGACGGUUAAUGUCUCGUAUAAAUGGGAUUCAAGCAGCCUUAGAAAGGUAUAGCUCCCGAGGGCUUGUGCAGUUAGAGGCUAGGCUAUGGAAUGAGUUAGAGACGGUGAUGGGUCAAAAGGAAAUCCUGUGGUGGCAGAAGUCAAGGAAAGAUGAGCUUCUGCACGGGGAUAGGAACACGAAUUUUUUUCAUCAAAAAACCAUUGCAAGACGACGGAGAAAUAGAAUUGAAGCUAUUCAAGAUACUUCGGGGAACUGGCUUUAUAGUGAGGAAGAGAUUCGUAAUUAUGCUAUUGGUUAUUUUUCGUCCUUAUACAAAAGUGAAGUUGCAACCUCUCAAAGUUAUCAGGUACCGAAUUUAUUCCCAGUCUUAAAUGCUUAUGAUUUGGAGAGUACUGCCGUUUCAGUUUUGGACGACGAAAUUAAAAGGGUGAUUUUUAGUAUGAAACCCCUCAAAGCUCCAGGUAUUGAUGGACUGCAUGCCAUCUUUUACCAGUCUCAAUGGCCAGUUGUGGGGCCCUCCUUCUGCAAGUUUAUGGGUGACAUUUUUAGUUCGGACAAGAUCCCCCAAGAAAUCAAUACUACCCUGUUGGUUUUGAUUCCCAAAAGCCUAAGUAUGUUUAGGCCUAUUAGUUUGUGCACGGUCGCUUAUAAAACAAUGACUAAAAGAAUUGCUAACCGUUUGCAAGCCUUGUUGCUUGAUCUCAUAGGCCCUCACCAGACUAGCUUUGUGCCCGGACGCCAUAUUAUUGAUAAUAUUGUUGUUGCUCAGGAAGUGGUUCACUCCAUGCGAAAGAAAACGGGGAAAAAAUGGUUUAUGGCUAUCAAAGUGGAUCUAGAAAAAGUGUACGAUCGACUUAAUUGGUCAUUUAUUUUCAAUACUCUCCAACAAACUGGUAUCCCGAUUCAGUUAUCUCGACUAGUCAUGGAAUGUGUAACUUCAGCUCGGAUGAGUAUUUUAUGGAAUGGUGAGGCUACAGCAGAAUUUAUCCCGGGGAGAGGAAUCUGUCAGGGGGAUCCCCUGUCUCCUUAUAUUUUUGUCUUGUGCAUUGAACGGUUGAGUCAUGGAAUAACACAAGCCGUGAGGGAUGGCAGCUGGAAGCCUAUUCGUUUGGCCAAGCAUGGAACUCCUCUAACACAUUUAUUUUUUGCAGAUGAUUUGCUCCUUUUUGCAGAGGCGUCAAUUGAUCAGGCGUAUACUAUAGAUGCAAUUUUAGACAACUUCUGGCGGAGCUCUGAAGCGAAGGUCCACAAGUCGAAAACUAAAAUUUACUUCUCUAAGAAUGUAGUUUCAAGAGAAGCUCAGCUCCUCAAUAAUGUUUUGGGGUAUUCAGCUACAAAUGACUUGGGGUGCUAUCUUGGAAUGCCUCUCAUCCAUUCGAGAGUAAAUAGAGCUACUUACCAAUCGAUUCUUGAAAAGGUGGAUAAGCGGCUUACGAGUUGGAAUGCAGCUCAUUUAUCCUUUGCUAGCCGAAUUACUUUGGCUCAUUCGGUGCCCCAAGCAAUGCCAAUUUACGCAAUGCAGACAAUUAUAUUACCGGCUCCGGUGCGUGGGAAGCUUGAGAAGUCUUGUCGUCGGUUUAUUUGGGAUGGGAAGUCGAAGAGCCAUAAGAUGAGUAUAGUGGGCUGGAAUAAAAUUUGCAUGCCGAAACCCAAAGGUGGCCUGGGGUUUAAGAAGUUGGAUGUGAUGAAUCAGGCGUUAUUGAUGAAGCUGAGCUGGGGAGUAGUUUCGAAUUCAGACAAGCUGUGGGUUAAGGUCAUCUGCUCAAAGUACGGGUCGGAUCCUAGACACUUGCCGUUGUCCCUCCCUGAGAAACAAGGUUCUGGAAUAUGGAAAGCCAUAAAGAGCACGUGGUCAGCCAUCAUGCAAGGAGCUCCCUGGGCUAUUUGUGAUGGAUCUAGAACUCGCUUUUGGCUGGACUGCUGGGCAACAAAACAAGGACCUUUGAUCAAUCUCGAUGUUCAUCCAGUGCCUCAAGAAUUGGUUAACGCUACGGUGAGUGCAUUUCUAAACGUGCAUGGGGGCUGGAACUAGUCAGCUUUUGAACAUUUGCUUCCCAAUUAUAUCCUGAUGCAAAUUGCUUCGAUAAUGCCUCCUAAUCCUCUUCUUGGUGUUGAUAAAAUAUAUUGGCGUUAUGAGCCAAGUGGCAACUUUACGGUUCGCUCAGCAUAUGAGUCUCUAUGUCAGCUGGAAUCCACUGCUACUGAUAAUGCAUGGAAUCAAGCAUGGUCCUGGAAGGGGCCGCAAGUAGCACGCAUCUUCCUUUGGCAGGUUCUACAUGCGAAAUUAAAAACCAAGAGUGAACUAUCUAGGCGGCAUAUUCCGGUUUCUCUGGGUUGUGAUCGUUGUGGGGCUCCUCUUGAGGAUAUUAUUCACGUCUUGAGAGAUUGUUAUUGCAUCAAGCGGGUUUGGCUUCGGAUUGUUCCAGCUCGGCAUCAUUCCUCAUUCUUUCAGUCGUCUUUACAAGAUUGGAUAAUUGCGAAUUUACAAAACAAGUGGAAUAUUCCCUCUCCAUUAUCUUGGGAGUGUAUAUUCGGCGUAGCGGUGUGGAGAUUAUGGUAUUGGAGGAAUCAUUUUAUUGUGGAGGGGAAGUUAGCAGAUAGCUCAACAGUCUAUGUAGAUAUUAUGGCCAAAGCUAACGAAAUCCAUAGACUAAAUAAUUCUUACAUAAGUCAACAGCCACGGAGGAAGGAAAUUUAUAUUGGAUGGCUGCCACCUCCAUGGCCCUGGUGCAAAUUGAAUACGGAUGGAUUUUGUAGAAAAGAUAAGAGGGCAGGUGCUAGUGGUAUUAUUCGAGACUCGGUCGGACACUGGAUAACUGGAUUUUGCAUGAAUAUUGGAGAGAGUUCGGUGCUAAUGGCUGAACUUUGGGGUCUAUACCAAGGAUUACGUCUAACUUGGGAGGCUGGAAUAAAACGUCUUUUGGUUGAAGUGGAUAACCUUUGUGUUACUCAAUUGGUCUCGAAGCAAGUGGUUGUGCCUAACGAAUUCUAUGCUUUAGUUGUUGCUAUCCGGGAGCUUAUUAGUAGAAACUGGCAAGUUUCCAUCACCCAUAUUUAUCGGGAAGCAAAUUCGGCGGCGGAUUUUAUGGCAAACAUGGCUCAUUCAUACCCCCAUGGAUUGCACUUAUUUUCUAGCCCGCCUGUGGGUAUUUAUUCAAUUAUUGUUCAAGACUUGUUUGGGGUUACUCAACCUCGUUUUAUUCCUAUUUAGCUCGCUUGCUUGAGCCCCAUUUAAUAAAAAUAAAUAAAUAAAUACAUGACAAAAAUAAUUCUUAGGUAGGACAUUCACACGAAACUGAGGUCAAAUUCUACUAUUUGACUAUGAUUUAGGACUGUAUUAUUAGUACACCUCAACAAUCUUGCUUGGCAAAAGAGUGGCGUUGAGACUAUGGCAAUUCAUCGAGCAGUUGAUUCAUUUAAUCAAACACUUGCCUCAUACUAUAGAGCACAAGGAUUUUUUUUUUUAUUCAAAUCUCAAUAUUCAUAAUUUUUUCCUCGGAAUCCUCAUUAAUUCUAAUAUGGCAAUUAAUAAAUAUCGUCCCUUGAAGGUAACAAAUACACAUGGGAGCAUUUUUGCGACAUGUUAGAUAGCCGAUUGCUAGCUAGUAGAGCAACAAAUAUGGGCAAAGACGACUAAAGAUGGCCAGUGAGCUGGGCAGCACGUGGCACUGCACAACACGCACGUGGGUUGUGCCGAGCCUAAAAUUUUAGGCACGCAGACCUUAAAAGCACGGCACAAUUAAAGAUGGGCCAAAGCACGACAUGUGAAAAAGCACGUAAUAAGCACGUUUCAUUAGUGGGUUAGCACGCAGCCCGCGAGCCAUCAAUAGUACGUGGGCCAAAGUAUAUCAAAGUAAAAUUUUUUAAUGAAAAAUAAAUAUAAAAUAUUAUAAUUUUACAAAUAUCUUAAAAUUAAACUUUUUAAAUAUAUUUUUUUAGCAUAAGCUUUUUAAAAUUAAUUUAAGUCCUAGUUUAAAUAAAUAUUCUAAUUUUUUUAUGUUCAUAAUUUAUUAAAUGAAUAAAUAAAUAUCAUAAUUUUAUAAAAUGAUAAAUAAAAAAAUUUACGACAUUAAUACUUCAUUUAUAAAAUCAUAAUUUAAUUAAUAGUUAAUGGAGAUAUGUUUCAUUUGUAAAUGAAAUAUUUUUCAAAUUUAUGCAAAAAAUAAAUAAAAUUAUGAAUGAAAUAUUUUUAUGAUAAAUUAAAAAUUACAUUUUCACUCAAUAGAGUUCAAAUGCAAUUAUAAUAUUAAUAGUUCAAAUAAAAUUAAGUGUAAUUAUUAUUAUAGGAUUGUAAUUUUAUUUUUCAUUAAUCAUUACUAUAAUAUAUGAAAUUAUUAUUAUUAUUAUUAUUAUUAUUAUUAUUAUUAUUAUUAUUAAUAAAAAAGCAUGUCAGGCACGCAAGAUAUGUGGACUUAAUAAGAAAAAAAAAUUAAUGGACUUUUUUGGACAUGACUGGACCCUAUAAAAAAAAGUGAACACGGCACGACACAAUCCACCAAUUUAGUGAGCCGUACCGUGCCUGACUCACAGACCCUCACAGACCCUUGUGUGCUGAUGUUUGCCGGCACGGCCCAUUGGCAUCCUUAGCGAUGACUUAGAAAGCCAAUGAACCAAGCUUUUAACUACAUAAACGGCGGCGUUUUUACCACAGUGAUUCGGGCUACCCAAUAGAAUUUCAUAAUAUCGUGUCCAUACUACCUUAAUCAUCGUGUUAAUAUAUUAUUAAUGUAGAGUUGUACCUACUCCAUUAAAGAGAUGACAAACAAGGUACUGCUGUUUUGAAAUAAAUGAAAUAGAUUAACAAAAUAUUAAAUAUUAAUGGUUCGCUAUACUUUUUAGGCAAAAACAAAAGGUAGCCGACAAGAAGAUAACCACAAAAAUUAACAAAGAGUGAGGUGACGACCAUGCAUAUAUGAUUCCCUUUUGCCGUUUUGGCAUUUAUUUCCUUAUCCCCAAUACCAAAGGCCAAAAAUAAAAAUAUAAGAAACUACUGUAAAAGUGAAGAGUAUUCGAACAUUUCGAAUAAUAGUAUCUAUUUGAUAUCUUUUAAUUUUUUUAAUUAAAUAUAGAGAAAUAUAUGGUAUUAUCCAAAAUUAAUUUGAAAUUUUAAGUUUUGGCUUUCAAGAAAAUAUAGAUAUAGAUAAAUUGUGAUGAUGAGAAUACUCAUUGAAACAAAAUUUUUAAAAAUAUUUAAAGAGGUGGGACUAUAUGCAUUUUAAAAAUUAAAAAUUGCUAUGCUAAAUAUUAAAUUUAUAUCAUUUUCAAGUUGGUAAUAUAAAAAUCUCUUAAUUAUCACAGCCAAUAAUAAAUACCCUCAUUAAGUCAAAGCUCCUGACAUCUUUCCCCUAGGCCGAGGUUUAUUUGUCUGAUGAGAAAUAGAAAUUAACGGCAUAAAUAUAAUUUGUGUCAUGGAUAAGCAAGAUCAAAACCCUAAACAUCCCUCUUCAUCAGUUGCCUUAAUCAUUGGGGUGACAGGCAUGGCAGGCUUGAGCUUAGCAGAAGCUCUAAAGAAUAAUCCAACAAUACCAGGCGGCCCCUGGAAAGUCUACGGCACUGCCCGCCGACCUCCGCCCAGCUGGUUCCCGUCUUCUCACGUCGAUCAUUACAUAACCUUCGAUGCCCUAGACUCCACUGACACAACCCAAAAGCUCUCCUCGAUUUCGCAAGAAGUCACUCAUCUUUUUUGGGUCAUGUUCCAGCGUUUGAAAAGCGAAGAAAUCAACAUAUCCAAUAACUCAACAAUGUUUAAGAAUGUGAUGUCCGUCGUCGUAGACUCGAAUAAGGGACGCUCUCGUCUCCGCCACGUUACUUUGCUAAUGGGGACGAAGCACUACAUGGGUCCGGUAUUUGAUCCGUCACUUGUAGGUCAACUUAUCGGUCACGAUCCUCCGUUUAAGGAGGACUCGCUUAGAUUGCCUUUCCCAAACUUUUACUACGCGGUUGAAGGCAUUGCAGCGUCAUAUUCGCCGGCUGUAACGUACUCCGUGCAUCGUUCGUCGAUCAUAAUCGGUGCAUCUUCAAGAAGCCUGAACAAUUCAUUGCUCACUUUGGCUGUGUACGCCACCAUUUGCAGGCACCAAGGGUUGCCGUUUCGAUACUUGGGUAAAGGCCUUAAUUAAUUACUCUUCCACUUUCUUUCUUUUUUUGGUGAAAAAUGAUUAUAGUGUCGCUGUGAGUGUGUAUUUGUACGAGUGGUUAGACUCUAAUAUCUAACUAUAAUUUAAUACUAUAUUAUAAUUAAACUUUACAAUCAAGCUUCAAAUUCAUAAUUUAAAAUAUGCCUUUGAAGAGUAAUAAUUGUACGUGACAAGAUUACAUUAGAUAAUCGAUGCCUGUGAGACUUAAAAGACCAAGGAGUUAAGAAAUGCAGAUAAUGACUAGGAACUGAAGAACACAAUACUGCAAGCUAUGAGAAUUCAAAUUUUCCAGCAUACUUUGUAUUUCAUCCAUCAUUCGAUAAUGGCUCUUGAGCUUAUCCUUGAGCUAUUAGGAGAACAAUUCUCGAGCUUGCUGAGUCAUCUUCACUAGUCAGCUGAAUCAUGUGCCAUGAAAGGGAGUGAUGCUGAGACUAUGACCAUGACAGUUCGCUGAGGCAAUUCAUCGAACAGCUGAAUCAUUUAAUCAAACAGCUGCCCCAAACUAUACGACACAGGAAAUAUUUUUGUUUUCUUAUCAAAUCUCAAGCUUCACAUUCUUUUUUUGCUUUUUUUCCCUAAUUUUUGUUCCAAUAGCAAUUCAUGGAUCUUCACUUUCAGGUAACAAAUACACAUGGGAGCAUUUUUGCGACAUGUCAGACAGCCGAGUGCUGGCAGAGCAACAAAUAUGGGCAGCAACGACGGAUAGGGCCAAGAACCAAGCAUUUAACUGCACAAACGGCGAUGUUUUUACAUGGAAGAGCUUGUGGAAACUGUUGUCAGAAAUCUUUGACGUUGAAUUUGUGCCGUUUGAUGAGAAAGAAAAAUUUGACGCGGUUGAGAUGAUGAAGGAGAAAGGAGAAAUAUGGGAUGAGAUUGUUGAGAAACAUGGGCUGUACAAGACCAAAAUGGAGGAG
rnacentral:lncRNA from 1 species